rnacentral:rRNA from 1 species
UACGAAGGGGGCUAGCGUUGCUCGGAAUCACUGGGCGUAAAGCGCAACGUAGGCGGCUUUUUAAGUCAGGGGUGAAAUCCUGGAGCUCAACUCCAGAACUGCCUUUGAUACUGGGAAGCUUGAGUCCGGGAGAGGUGAGUGGAACUCCGAGUGUAGAGGUGAAAUUCGUAGAUAUUCGGAAGAACACCAGUGGCGAAGGCGGCUCACUGGCCCGGUACUGACGCUGAGGUGCGAAAGCGUGGGGAGCAAACAGG